AGCAGCCGCGGUAAUUCCAGCUCCAAUAGCGUAUAUUAAAGUUGUUGCAGUUAAAAAGCUCGUAGUUGAAUUUCGGGAUCAGUAGGUCGGUCGUGCCACUGGUAUGCACUGGCCUCACUGGUUCCUCCUUCCUGAUGAACCGUAAUGCCAUUAAUUUGGUGUUGCGGGGAAACUGGACUGUUACUUUGAAAAAAUUAGAGUGUUUAAAGCAGGCUAACGCUUGAAUACAUUAGCAUGAAAUAAUGAAAUAGGACGAUCGAUCCUAUUUUGUUGGUUUCUAGGAUUGACGUAAUGAUUAAUAGGGAUAGUUGGGGGCAUUAGUAUUCAAUUGUCAGAGGUGAAAUUCUUGGAUUUAAUUGAAGACUAACUACUAGCGAAAGCAUUUGCCAAGGAUGUUUUCAUUAAUCAAGAACGAAAGUUAGGGGAUCGAAGACGAUCAGAUACCGUACGUAGUCUUAACCAUAAACUAUAGCCGACUAGGGAUCGGAUGAUGUUAAUUUUUAAUUGACUCAUUCGGCGU
rnacentral:rRNA from 1 species